rnacentral:rRNA from 1 species
GUCUCUCUUGAGUGGAUCCUGAGUACGACGGAGCACGUGAAAUUCCGUCGGAAUCUGGGAGGACCAUCUCCUAAGGCUAAAUACUCUCUAGUGACCGAUAGUGAACCAGUACCGUGAGGGAAAGGUGAAAAGCACCCCGGAAGGGGAGUGAAAUAGAACCUGAAACCGUGUGCUUACAAGUAGUCAGAGCCCGUUAAUGGGUGAUGGCGUGCCUUUUGUAGAAUGAACCGGCGAGUUACGAUUUGAUGCAAGGUUAAGCAGUAAAUGUGGAGCCGUAGCGAAAGCGAGUCUGAAUAGGGCGUUUAGUAUUUGGUCGUAGACCCGAAACCAGGUGAUCUACCCUUGGUCAGGUUGAAGUUCAGGUAACACUGAAUGGAGGACCGAACCGACUUACGUUGAAAAGUGAGCGGAUGAACUGAGGGUAGCGGAGAAAUUCCAAUCGAACCUGGAGAUAGCUGGUUCUCUCCGAAAUAGCUUUAGGGCUAGCCUCAAGUGAUGAUUAUUGGAGGUAGAGCACUGUUUGGACGAGGGGCCCCUCUCGGGUUACCGAAUUCAGACAAACUCCGAAUGCCAAUUAAUUUAACUUGGGAGUCAGAACAUGGGUGAUAAGGUCCGUGUUCGAAAGGGAAACAGCCCAGACCACCAGCUAAGGUCCCAAAAUAUAUGUUAAGUGGAAAAGGAUGUGGCGUUGCCCAGACAACUAGGAUGUUGGCUUAGAAGCAGCCAUCAUUUAAAGAGUGCGUAAUAGCUCACUAGUCGAGUGACACUGCGCCGAAAAUGUACCGGGGCUAAACAUAUUACCGAAGCUGUGGAUUGUCCUUUGGACAAUGGUAGGAGAGCGUUCUAAGGGCGUUGAAGCAUGAUCGUAAGGACAUGUGGAGCGCUUAGAAGUGAGAAUGCCGGUGUGAGUAGCGAAAGACGGGUGAGAAUCCCGUCCACCGAUUGACUAAGGUUUCCAGAGGAAGGCUCGUCCGCUCUGGGUUAGUCGGGUCCUAAGCUGAGGCCGACAGGCGUAGGCGAUGGAUAACAGGUUGAUAUUCCUGUACCACCUAUAAUCGUUUUAAUCGAUGGGGGGACGCAGUAGGAUAGGCGAAGCGUGCGAUUGGAUUGCACGUCUAAGCAGUAAGGCUGAGUAUUAGGCAAAUC